GUGACAUGGCUGAGCGUUAAGCAAUAAAUUGUAAAUUUAUUAACGAAUUUUUUUAUUCUGUUACCAC
rnacentral:tRNA from 1 species